rnacentral:rRNA from 1 species
AUUGAACGCUGGCGGCAGGCCUAACACAUGCAAGUCGAACGGUAACAGGAAGCAGCUUGCUGCUUUGCUGACGAGUGGCGGACGGGUGAGUAAUGUCUGGGAAACUGCCUGAUGGAGGGGGAUAACUACUGGAAACGGUAGCUAAUACCGCAUAACGUCGCAAGACCAAAGAGGGGGACCUUCGGGCCUCUUGCCAUCGGAUGUGCCCAGAUGGGAUUAGCUAGUAGGUGGGGUAACGGCUCACCUAGGCGACGAUCCCUAGCUGGUCUGAGAGGAUGACCAGCCACACUGGAACUGAGACACGGUCCAGACUCCUACGGGAGGCAGCAGUGGGGAAUAUUGCACAAUGGGCGCAAGCCUGAUGCAGCCAUGCCGCGUGUAUGAAGAAGGCCUUCGGGUUGUAAAGUACUUUUCAGCGGGGAGGAAGGCGAUAAGGUUAAUAACCUUGUCGAUUGACGUUACCCGCAGAAGA